CCCACCCCCUCGACCCCCAGCGGCCCGGCCCUCCCCUCGCGCUCCUUUCCCCCUCCCACCAUCCACCGCAGCCACUUCCGCCCGUCCUCCGGAAGUGAGUCCGCGGCAACUGCCACCUCCCCUCAUCCCGCCUUAUUCUUCUAGCCCACUCCCCCCGCCCAUCACCACCGCCACCACGGGAGCACGGAACGUGGGUCUGCAGGACUUGAGGUCGCUCUACAGUCACUAUGCACAGGACUGGAGACGAGGUGUGGGCAGGACGGGUGUGGGCGAGAACGGAGCUGGGAGCGAGAGGAACUGCCGAGCAAGAAGGGGCGGGGCAGAGUGUGUGGCGGAGAGCGGGAGCUCGCGUCACGAAGAGCCGCGCGGGAAGAACUGAGCAUGCGUCGCGACGCCUCGGCCCGGUCGCAAGGGUUGAUGCUUGGACUGCCUGGCCUGGCGGGACUUGGACUGGAAGGGGGCGGAGCGAGGAGCGCGGAAGUGGGGGCGGAGCCUGCAAGGGGCAGUCUCGCCCCUUCCCCUCCGUCCUACGGUCGCCUAGCAACCGCUGGCUUUUUCUGGGUUCUGGAACAAACCCAGGCUGCUCCCCUCUCCCCAUGCUGGUUCUCCUGGCGAGAAGCAAUUCUGGAAGUUUCAAGACCUGUAUUCACCGUUCCUGUGCUGACAGCGCUGUAGCAGUACUAGAGGAAAGCUGUUUUAUUCAUCGCUUACUUUUUCUCGCUGCAUCUCUCAUGGAGGCAGGACCUUUCUUGGGUCUGAAAAAAGAAAACGAUGAGAAUAAUCAAAAAGAGUCAGGAGCCACUUCUCAAGAGAUUAGACAACUCAUAGAAGAGGAAUUAUGGCUCACUCUGGCUGAAAAUUCCUGCCUUAACAACAGACUUCAACAAGCAACAGGUGCAACAUGCCUGCAGCUACUAUGGAUUUCCAGAGUACUGACCAUAUUCCACAAGUCGGUCUACCAUCUGGGUUCUGUGCCUUAAGUUCUUGAUAUCAUAUUGGACUUGGAGGUGCCCAAAGAAAGAAAAAGAGAACACAAGAGGAAAUGUGAACACAAAAUCCUUACCAACUCAGAAGAAAGAAGUGGGAGGAUGGGACAAAUGAAAGAUGGGACAAGGAGUGACAGAAGUGACAUGCAGAUGGCAAGAGAGAGAGUAUGGUUUGUGCUUUAGUUAUUACUAAAUUAGUUUAUGAGUAUCAGAAUUGCAAAUGGUUAACAUAAGUUGGUUCUAUUGAUUAAUCCUUAUGAUUAAAGGUGAGUGAUUUUUCCUUAAAAUAAAAAAUGAAAUAGAACAUUCUCAUACCUGGUAGUAGAGAAGAGAUUUCUAGUCACCCUAAGGAAUAAAGUAAACAAAGGAGAUUCUGAAAGGGAGGCUGAGAGAUUUUUCUGAAGCUAAAGGGGCAAAGAUUGGCUUGAGGAGAAUCAUUAAUAGAACUAGUUUAUUAGGCUGCUGUAAAGCUAAGUAUCAUAAACACAAGUCUCAGGAGAGAAAAGCUACUUGGUUUAAUUUGUUCUCUAAACACUAUAUGAGUUAUUAUAAUAAUGACUUGGCAUAUUUGACAAUGUAGCAAUACCUGGCUGAGUUAACAUAAAACAACUUUUUUAUGACGGUUAAUCCUUUCUUUUAAAAAACCCUGCUCAGAUAUGCCCUAGUACCACAUCAUUGCGUACAUCAUUGUUUAAAGUACAAAAAAAUGGAAACAACCCAAAUGCCCUGAAUAGAUCCAAAAAUUAUGAAACAUCCAACAGUGCUCAAUCCAAUACCACAGCAGUAUAUUUUAAAAAAGCAGCAGCAGCAAAGAAAAAAAAAAAAA